rnacentral:rRNA from 1 species
GGAAUGGCAUCUAAGACUGGUCAGCUAGAGUCUUGUAGAGGGGGGUAGAAUUCCAUGUGUAGCGGUGAAAUGCGUAGAGAUGUGGAGGAAUACCGGUGGCGAAGGCGGCCCCCUGGACAAAGACUGACGCUCAGGUGCGAAAGCGUGGGGAGCAAACAGGAUUAGAUACCCUGGUAGUCCACGCUGUAAACGAUGUCGAUUUGAAGGUUGUUCCCUUGAGGAGUGGCUUUCGGAGCUAACGCGUUAAAUCGACCGCCUGGGGAGUACGGCCGCAAGGUUAAAACUCAAAUGAAUUGACGGGGGCCCGCACAAGCGGUGGAGCAUGUGGUUUAAUUCGAUGCAACGCGAAGAACCUUACCUACUCUUGACAUCCAGAGAACUUAGCAGAGAUGCUUUGGUGCCUUCGGGAACUCUGAGACAGGUGCUGCAUGG